AUGUGGUUUAAUUCGAUGAUACGGCGAGGAACCUUACCCGGGCUUGAACGGCAGGAGAACGAUUCAGAGAUGGAUGAGGUCCUUGCGGGACUCCUGUGGAGGUGCUGCAUGGUUGUCGUCAGCUCCGUGGCCGUGAGGUGUCGGCUUAAGUGCCAUAACGAGCGCAACCCCUUUCGUUAGUUGCCAUCAGGUGAUGCUGGGCACUCUGGCGAUACUGCCACCGUAAGGUAAAAGGAAGGUGGGGAUGACGUCAAAUCAGCACGGCCCUUACGUCCGGGGCUACACACGUGUUACAAUGGGUGGUACAGAGAGCUGGUCGUCUGCAAAUGCGAUCAAAUCCUAAAAGCCAUCCUCAGUUCGGAUUGGGGUCUGCAACCCGACCCCAUGAAGCUGGAUUCGCUAGUAAUCGCGCAUCAGCCAUGGCGCGGUGAAUACGNUCCCGGGCCUUGUACACACCGCCCGUCAAGCCAUGAAAGCCGGG
rnacentral:rRNA from 1 species